GGGCGCGUGGUCUAAUGGUAAGACGCUCACAACGAAAGUGACCAGGCGGCUUGCAACAGCGCACCUUUAAGUGGCUGGCCUGUGACGGGUUUGAGCGCGGCGAGGGGCUUCUGUGAGAGAUUCCACGUUCGAGUCAUGGCGUGUCCA